AAAGGAAUCAUGUUCUCCAGGGUUAAGGUCAGUAUGUAAUGUAAAGGAAUCAUGUUCUCCAGGGUUAAGGUCAGUAUGUAAUGUAAAGGAAUCAUGUUCUCCAGGGUUAAGGUCAGUAUGUAAUGUAAAGGAAUCAUGUUCUCCAGGGUUAAGGUCAGUAUGUAAUGUAAAGGAAUCAUGUUCUCCAGGGUUAAGGUCAGUAUGUAAUGUAAAGGAAUCAUGUUCUCCAGGGUUAAGGUCAGUAUGUAAUGUAAAGGAAUCAUGUUCUCCAGGGUUAAGGUCAGUAUGUAAUGUAAAGGAAUCAUGUUCUCCAGGGUUAAGGUCAGUAUGUAAUGUAAAGGAAUCAUGUUCUCCAGGGUUAAGGUCAGUAUGUAAUGUAAAGGAAUCACGUUCUCCAGGGUUAAGGUCAGUAUGUAAUGUAAAGGAAUCACGUUCUCCAGGGUUAAGGUCAGUAUGUAAUGUAAAGGAAUCAUGUUCUCCAGGGUUAAGGUCAGUAUGUAAUGUAAAGGAAUCAUGUUCUCCAGGGUUAAGGUCAGUAUGUAAUGUAAAGGAAUCAUGUUCUCCAGGGUUAAGGUCAGUAUGUAAUGUAAAGGAAUCAUGUUCUCCAGGGUUAAGGUCAGUAUGUAAUGUAAAGGAAUCAUGUUCUCCAGGGUUAAGGUCAGUAUGUAAUGUAA